rnacentral:rRNA from 1 species
GACGAACGCUGGCGGCGUGCUUAACACAUGCAAGUCGUACGGUAAGGCCCUUUCGGGGGUACCCGAGUGGCGAACGGGUGAGUAACACGUGAGUAACCUUCCCACAAUUCUGUGAUAACGCUAGUAAACUGGUGCUACUACCGCUUAUAUGCUCCUCCUGCUUGGUGGGGGUUGGAAAGCUCCGGCGGUUGUGGAUGGACUCGGGGCCUAUCGGCGUGUUGGUGGGUUAGCGGCCUACCAAGGCGGCGACGGGUCGCCGGCAUGGGAGUGUGAGCGGCCACAUUGGGCCUGCGAUACGCAGCAGUCGCCAACGGUAGGCAGCAGGGGCGAAUAUUGCACAGUGGGCGCAAGCCUGAUGAAGAAGCGCCGCGUGCGGGAUGACGGCCUUCGGGUUGUAAACCGCUUUAAGCAGAGACGAAGCUUUUUGUGAGGGUACCUGCAGAAGAAGAACGGGUUAACUACGU